rnacentral:rRNA from 1 species
UACGGGGGGGGCAAGCGUUGUUCGGAAUUACUGGGCGUAAAGGGCUCGUAGGUGGCCAACUAAGUCAGACGUGAAAUCCCUCGGCUUAACCGGGGAACUGCGUCUGAUACUGGAUGGCUUGGAUCCGGAAGAGGGAUGCGGAAUUCCAGGUGUAGCGGUGAAAUGCGUAGAUAUCUGGAGGAACACCGGUGGCGAAGGCGGCAUCCUGGGCCGGUAUUGACGCUGAGGAGCGAAAGCCAGGGGAGCAAACGGG